rnacentral:lncRNA from 1 species
GGGCAAAGCUUCACACGGACCAAAGAGCAGACUAGGACACAGGCCAGCGCCGGCUCAUCGACAUCAUGCUAUACCUAGGCAUGGGGUUUCUCGUCAGAAUGCAGCGGCAGCCUGGAUGUACCCCCCACAGAAUACGGAGUUGAAAAGCGACAGAAGUGUUUUGUGAGUUCCAGGGUCAUCAGGUUCCAGGGAUUGAUCAUGUCCUAAGCUAUUUUGUCUCUUCCUGGCACUGACUUAUUACAACUCAGUGAGACCCGAAACUCCGCCAUGGUAAAUGGACGUUUCCAUCAAGGAACAGGAAGAUGAUAACAUCUAGGCCGAUUUCAGAAGCAGCAAUUGAAGUUGAAGGUUUCCGCGCUCGAAGCCGCAAAUUUUCCAUCAAUGGAUGAUUAACCUCAAAAGGGACAAAUGGAAACCAACUCCAGGCAGUAGGCUUUGCAGCGACCAUGAACCACACAUGGCUAUGACAUAAAUAAACGCACUGUUCUGUUGUGUCAUUGUUGUCCGGUUUCAUACGAAUGUGUAGUGAUCUUCAG